rnacentral:misc_RNA from 1 species
UGAAAUGCGAAAAGUAAUGCGAUUUGCAUGAAUCUGUGAGUCAUCAAGUUUUUGAACGCACCUUGCACCGUAUGAGCAAUUGUACGGUAUACCUGUUUGAGAAUCGUAAAAAACCAUUCUAUACUUCUCGUAAGUGUAGAGAUUUGUUUGCUGAGCGGGCUCACGCCUGCUCUCAGACUAAAUGCAGUAGGCUUGGAACAGGCUGGUGGCCUGGGACAUUGUGUGAUAGAGACGUCGCCGUAAGGCAGACAGUCUUCUCACAAUGGGUCCUGGGCUAUUCCAAAACUGGUCUGCUUCGAGCCUCUACAGUCAAAGCCCUUCAAACGGCUGCGACAACCCCCCUUUUUGAUCUCAAAUCAGGUAAGGCUACCCGCUGAACUUAA